GACAGAGGGUGCAAACGUUGUUCGGAAUUACUGGGCGUAAAGCGCGUGUAGGCGGCUAAGUAAGUCGGGCGUGAAAUCCCACGGCUCAACCGUGGAAGUGCACUCGAAACUGCAUAGCUAGAGUCCUGGAGAGGAAGGUGGAAUGCUUGGUGUAGAGGUGAAAUUCGUAGAUAUCAAGCGGAACACCCGUGGCGAAGGCGGCUCACUGGGCUGACCUUGACGCUGAGGCGCGAAGGCGUGGGGGAGCGAACGGG
rnacentral:rRNA from 1 species